GCCUGGAUGGCUCAGUCAGUUAAGCGUUUGACUUCGGCUCAGGUCACCAGCUCACAGUUCGUGGGUUCAAGCCCCGCAUCAGGCU
rnacentral:tRNA from 1 species